rnacentral:tRNA from 1 species
GUCGGCUUGGCGGAAAGGCAUACGCAAUGAGCUAAGGACUCAUUUAUUAAGGGUUCGAAUCCCUUAGCCGAUA